rnacentral:lncRNA from 1 species
UUGGAAACGACGCCUCGUUAGUAAUUAGCUAAUGAGCUGGCUGCGCUUCUGCAGAAGCUUUUCCAGCCGCUGCGUUUCUGCUUCUGUGCUGCACGCACAGCUGGUGGUGGUUCUUGGCAACUCACUUAUGGGGCUGGUGGACUCACUUAUGGGGCUGGAGGACCUGGGUGUGGGGCUGGAGGACCUCGGGGUGGGGCUGGAGGAUUCAUGGUGAUGUUGAACUUGGAUGUGGGGCAGAAGGAUUCACUUACGGGGCUGGAGGACUUGGAUGUACGUCUGGAGGACUGGGAAGUGGGGCUGGAGGACUUGGGGCUGGAGGACUCAUUUAGGGGGCUGGGGAACUGGGAUGUGGGGCUGGAGCACUGGGAUGUGGGGCUGGAGAACUCAUGGGGCUGGAGGACCUCGGUGUGGGGCUGGAGGACUCCUAGUGCUGGUGAACUCAGAUGUGGGGCUGGAGGACUUGGAUGUACGUCUGGAGGACUGGGAACUGGGGCGGGAGGAACUCGGAUGUGGGGCUGGAGGACUGGGAACUGGGGCUGGAGGACCUUGGUGUGGGGCUGGAGAACGGAGAUGUGGGGCUGGAGGACCUCGGGUGUGGGGCUGGAGGACUGGGAUGUGGGGCUGGAGGAUUCACUUAUGGGGCUGGAGGACUUGGAUGUAUGUCUGGAGGACAGGGAAGUGGGGCUGGACGACUCGCUCGUGGGGCUGGAGGACUCAAUUUCACGUCUGAAGGACUGGGAUGUGGGGCUGGAGGACUGGGAUGUGGGGCUGGAGGACUGAGUUGUGGGGCUGGAGGACCUGGAUGUGGGGCUGGAGGACUCACUUAUGGGGCUGGAGAACUGAGAUGUGGGGCUGGAGGACCUCGGUGUGGAGCUGGAGGUUUCACUUAUAGGGCUGGAGGACUCGGGUGUGGGGCUGGAGGACUCGGAUUUGGGGCUGGAGGGUUGACUUGUGGGGCUGGAGUACUCAAUUAUGGGGCUGGAGGACAGGGAUGUGAGGCUGGACGAGGACUGGGGUGUGGGACUGGAGGACUCGAUUAUGGAGUUGGAGGACUGGCAUGUGGGGCUGGAGGACUGGGAUGUGGGGCUGGAGGACUCAAUUUCACGUUUCAAGGACUGGGAUGUGGGGCAGGAGGACUCGAAUGUGGGGCUGGAGGGAUCAAAUGUGGGGCAGGAGGACUGGGCUGUGGGGCAGGAGGACUGGGCUGUGGGGCAGGAGGACUGGGCUGUGGGGCAGGAGGACUGGGCUGUGGGGCAGGAGGACUGGGCUGUGGGGCAGGAGGACUG